AGACCCGAAACCCGGUGAUCUAGCCAUGGGCAGGUUGAAGGUUGGGUAACACUAACUGGAGGACCGAACCGACUAAUGUUGAAAAAUUAGCGGAUGACCUGUGGCUGGGGGUGAAAGGCCAAUCAAACCGGGAGAUAGCUGGUUCUCCCCGAAAGCUAUUUAGGUAGCGCCUCGUGAAUUCAUCUCCGGGGGUAGAGCACUGUUUCGGCUAGGGGGCCAUCCCGGCUUACCAACCCGAUGCAAACUGCGAAUACCGGAGAAUGUUAUCACGGGAGACACACGGCGGGUGCUAACGUCCGUCGUGAAGAGGGAAACAACCCAGACCGCCAGCUAAGGUCCCAAAGUCAUGGUUAAGUGGGAAACGAUGUGGGAAGGCCCAGACAGCCAGGAUGUUGGCUUAGAAGCAGCCAUCAUUUAAAGAAAGCGUAAUAGCUCACUGGUCGAGUCGGCCUGCGCGGAAGAUGUAACGGGGCUAAACCAUGCACCGAAGCUGCGGCAGCGAACGUAUCACUUAAAGCGAUUCAGCGGAUGACGAUUGACGGAGCGAAGCGACGUCAAAGCGUAUACAAAGUCGAGUCGGUUUAAGGAUACGUUCGUUGGGUAGGGGAGCGUUCUGUAAGCCUGCGAAGGUGGCCUGUGAGGGUUGCUGGAGGUAUCAGAAGUGCGAAUGCUGACAUAAGUAACGAUAAAGCGGGUGAAAAGCCCGCUCGCCGGAAGACCAAGGGU
rnacentral:rRNA from 1 species